rnacentral:misc_RNA from 1 species
UAAAAGCUGAAACUUUCAUUUCUAACAUCGAAGGGUUACAGCUAAUGGAUGUGGUCAGGAAAGGAAACAUUUCUAUUCUUCAUAGUAGGCGCACAACUGGAUUUCUGGGAUUGAUUCUAUGCAUCAGAAGUGCCAUCCGCUUAGCACAAUACAUGUUUUAGGAGGGUCGUAUAUCAUAUGUUCUCACGUACAAGAUGACUCAGGAUCAUGUUCAAACGUUUUUUUUCUGUGUUCGGCGAAAAAGAGGCUUUAACAGCAACCCCAGCUGUCGACAAUUCAAAUCAGCAUAAAAGCACUUGAUGACACAUGUGAAUGACAUGAUCCCUAUGUCAGGCGAUUGUAUUUCCCGUGACGAAACACUGUUAUUACAUGCACCUGGCACAGAAAAUGAUCAAAAUUCAGCCAAAUCAGACGAUACUUUUGAUGUCACUAAAUUAACUAGCAUCGUAUUCUUGGACCACGAUUAUCAAGCACCCUCAGGAUGGUCUUGGAAUAAGUACGCUUCAGAA